rnacentral:rRNA from 1 species
AGAGUUUGAUCCUGGCUCAGGAUGAACGCUAGCUACAGGCUUAACACAUGCAAGUCGAGGGGCAGCACGGUGUCAGCUUGCUGACACUGGUGGCGACCGGCGCACGGGUGAGUAACGCGUAUCCAACCUGCCUGUCACUCGGGCACAGCCCGCCGAAAGGCGGAUUAAUUCCCGAUGGCCUCCUCCGGAUGCAUAUUAUGGAGGAGUAAAGCGAAUGCGGUGACGGAUGGGGAUGCGUCCGAUUAGCUUGUUGGCGGGGUAACGGCCCACCAAGGCGACGAUCGGUAGGGGUUCUGAGAGGAAGGUCCCCCACAUUGGAACUGAGACACGGUCCAAACUCCUACGGGAGGCAGCAGUGAGGAAUAUUGGUCAAUGGACGCGAGUCUGAACCAGCCAAGUAGCGUGCAGGAUGACGGCCCUACGGGUUGUAAACUGCUUUUGUGCGUGAAUAACGUGCCCCACGCGUGGGGUAUUGCAUGUAGCGCACGAAUAAGGACCGGCUAAUUCCGUGCCAGCAGCCGCGGUAAUACGGAAGGUCCGGGCGUUAUCCGGAUUUAUUGGGUUUAAAGGGAGCGUAGGCCGCCUUUUAAGCGUGUUGUGAAAUGCAGUCGCUCAACGUCUGCACUGCAGCGCGAACUGGAAGGCUUGAGUGCGCGGAAAGCCGGCGGAAUUCGUCGUGUAGCGGUGAAAUGCUUAGAUAUGACGAAGAACUCCGAUUGCGAAGGCAGCCGGCUGUAGCGUUACUGACGCUGAUGCUCGAAAGUGCGGGUAUCGAACAGGAUUAGAUACCCUGGUAGUCCGCACGGUAAACGAUGGAAGCCCGCUGUCCGCCCUCUAGGGUGGGCGGCCAAGCGAAAAGCGUUAAGCAUCCCCACGUGGGGAGUACGCCGGCAACGGUGAAACUCAAAGGAAUUGACGGGGGCCCGCACAAGCGGAGGAACAUGUGGUUUAAAUUCGAUGAUACGCGAGGAACCUUACCCGGGCUUGAACUGCGCCGGACGCCGGCAGAGAUGCCGGUUCCCCUCGGGGCUGGCGCGGAGGUGCUGCAUGGUUGUCGUCAGCUCGUGCCGUGAGGUGUCGGCUUAAGUGCCAUAACGAGCGCAACCCCUAUCUUCAGUUGCCAUCAGGUAAUGCUGGGCACUCUGUAGAGACUGCCGCCGCAAGGUGUGAGGAGGGUGGGGAUGACGUCAAAUCAGCACGGCCCUUACGUCCGGGGCUACACACGUGUUACAAUGGCGCAUACAGAAAGCCGGUACACAGUGAUGUGUAUCGAAUCCUGAAAGUGCGUCCUAGUUCGGAUUGGGGUCUGCAACCCGACCCCAUGAAGCUGGAUUCGCUAGUAAUCGCGCAUCAGCCAUGGCGCGGUGAAUACGUUCCCGGGCCUUGUACACACCGCCCGUCAAGCCAUGAAAGCCGGGGGCACCUGAAGUCUGCGACCGCGAGGGGCGGCCUAAGGUGAAACUGGUGAUUGGGGCUAAGUCGUAACAAGGUAACC